GCCGAAGUGGUGGAAUUGGAAGACACGCUAGGUUCAGGGUCUAGUGGGAGUUAUCCCGUAGGGGUUCGAGUCCCCUCUUCGGCA
rnacentral:tRNA from 1 species